GUGCCAGCAGCCGCGGUAAGACGUAGGACGCGAGCGUUAUCCGGAUUUACUGGGCGUAAAGCGUCUGUAGGCGGAUGUGUAAGUUGGGCGUGAAAGCUCCGGGCUUAACCCGGAGAGGCCGUUCAAUACUGCAUAACUUGAGGGUGUCAGAGGGGAGCGGAAUUCCCGGUGUAGCGGUAAAAUGCGCAGAGAUCGGGAGGAACACCAGUGGCGGAGGCGGUUCCCUGGGGCACACCUGACGCUGAGAGACGAAAGCUAGGGGAGCGAACAGGAUUAGAGACCCUGGUAGUCCUAGCCCUAAACGAUGAAUGCUAGGUGUGGGAUCGAAUGGUUCCGUGCCGGAGCGAACGCGAUAAGCAUUCCGCCUGGGGAGUACGGCCGCAAGGUUAAAACUCAAACGAAUUGACGGGGCCCCGCACAAGCAGCGGAGCGUGUGGUUUAAUUCGAUGCUACACGAAGAACCUUACCUGGGUUUGACAUGUAGGUGGUAGUGAAUCGAAAGGUGAACGACCCUUCGGGGAGCCUACACAGGUGCUGCAUGGCUGUCGUCAGCUCGUGCCGUGAGGUGUCGGGUUAAGUCCCGUAACGAGCGCAACCCUUGCUCCUAGUUACAAGUGUCUAGGGGGACUGCCGGCGGAAAGCCGGAGGAAGGUGGGGAUGACGUCAAGUCAGCAUGGCCCUUAUAUCCAGGGCUACACACACGCUACAAUGGUCGGUACAAAGGGCAGCGAAACCGCGAGGCGGAGCGAAUCCGAGAAAAGCCGAUCGUAGUUCGGAUAGCAGGCUGCAACCCGCCUGC
rnacentral:rRNA from 1 species